rnacentral:rRNA from 1 species
CUGAGCGUCAGUCUUUGUCCAGGGGGCCGCCUUCGCCACCGGUAUUCCUCCAGAUCUCUACGCAUUUCACCGCUACACCUGGAAUUCUACCCCCCUCUACAAGACUCUAGCCUGCCAGUUUCGAAUGCAGUUCCCAGGUUGAGCCCGGGGAUUUCACAUCCGACUUGACAGACCGCCUGCGUGCGCUUUACGCCCAGUAAUUCCGAUUAACGCUUGCACCCUCCGUAUUACCGCGGCUGCUGGCACGGAGUUAGCCGGUGCUUCUUCUGCGAGUAACGUCAAUCACUGCGGUUAUUAACCACAAUGCCUUCCUCCUCGCUGAAAGUACUUUACAACCCGAAGGCCUUCUUCAUACACGCGGCAUGGCUGCAUCAGGCUUGCGCCCAUUGUGCAAUAUUCCCCACUGCUGCCUCCCGUAGGAGUCUGGACCGUGUCUCAGUUCCAGUGUGGCUGGUCAUCCUCUCAGACCAGCUAGGGAUCGUCGCCUAGGUGAGCCAUUACCUCACCUACUA